AUGUAUCUGUUGUAUGUAUAUAGCAUUCAGUUCAUAUGUAUAAAAAUGGACUGAAUGGAGAGAUAGUAAAGGUGGAUGACUGACUUUGUCGUCUAUGGUCAGAAACCUUUUCCCUCAACUUCUGCACAUUACCAAUUUGAUGGUUUUUCCCAUAUAUAUAAAAAUGGACUGAAUGGAGAGAUAGUAAAGGUGGAUGACUGACUUUGUCGUCUGUGGUCAGAAACCUUUUCCCUCAACUUCUGCACAUUACCAAUUUGAUGGUUUUUCAAAUAUGGAUCAGAAGUUGCAAUAUGCAAUAAAUAAUAAAUAAAAAUAAACUGUUACUCUAUAAACAGUUGUCUUUGUAUCCUUUCUCGCCGAGUAAAGUGAUACUGACUUAUAACUUGUAACACAAAUUCCUUAUCUGUUUUGAAAAUUUAUGUAUUAAACCGUUACUCUAUAAACAGUUGUCUUUGUAUCCUUUCUCGACGAGUAAAGUGAUACUGACUAAAUUGAAUAAGGCAACUUGUAACACAAAUUCCUUACCUGUUUUGAAAAUUUAUGUAUUAUUAUUAAAGAAUCAAAGAAAG
rnacentral:lncRNA from 1 species